GACGAACGCUGGCGGCGUGCUUUACACAUGCAAGUCGAGCGGAAAGGCCUCUUCCUUUGGUUGGGGUACUCGAGCGGCGAACGGGUGAGUAACACGUGAGUAAUCUGCCCCUGACUCUGGGAUAGCCCACCGAAAGGUGGAUUAAUACCGGAUAUUCACAUUCUGCUGCAUGGUGGGGUGUGGAAAGUUUUUGCGGUUGGGGAUGUGCUCGCGGCCUAUCAGCUUGACGGUGAGGUAGUGGCUCACCGUGGCUUUGACGGGUAGCCGGCCUGUGAGGGUGACCGGCCACACUGGGACUGAGACACGGCCCAGACUCCUACGGGAGGCAGCAGUGGGGAAUAUUGCACAAUGGGCGCAAGCCUGAUGCAGCGACGCCGCGUGGGGGAUGAAGGCCUUCGGGUUGUAAACUCCUUUCGCCAUUGACGAAGCCCUUUGGGGUGACGGUAGGUGGAGAAGAAGCACCGGCUAACUACGUGCCAGCCGCCGCCGUAACAC
rnacentral:rRNA from 1 species